UUCCACAAGACGCUUUUGCUCCCAGACAGCUCUCUGGCUUGCACCUGGGAGUCUCAGAUACAGAAGCCAAGGACAAUGACAGGGUCUUCCGCACUAGCUCCCACUCAAACAAUUGGAAUUGCCUAGAUGGUAGCAGGAAUCAUGCCAAGGAAAACCCAGGACAGAUUUCAGGAAAGGAUAAACACAGAAGCAGAAAGCCAACCUCUUAAAAAGUACUUCCGAACUGGAGACCAACCUUCCUCUCCAGCUCUGUAGGUACUUCAUAACCACUCUGAACAAGUACCAAGGACUCUCCUACCACACCCUUUCCCCUCUAAGUCUACAGGAUUCCUGGUUACCUUGAGGACAGAAAGCGUGGAAGGACACAGAAGAUCUCAGCAAAGUUCUCGAGGCCCUGUCUUAGAAGCAUCCGAUUUUCAUUUUCCCUUUGGCAUUUUCCCAUAUAA